GGCCAGGGCCGAGGCCGCAAAGGUCCAGGAGGCAAGGUCAAGGACAAGGAGUGAAUGCCUGGGUCACCAAGCUGGGCUGCCUGGUCAGGGACAUGGAGAUCAAGUCCCUGGAGGAGAUCUAUCUCUUCUCCCUGCCCAUUGAGGAGUCUGAGAUCAUUGACGUUUUCCUGGGGGCAUCUCUCAAGGAUAAGGUUGUAAAGAUUAUGGUGAUGCAAAAGCAGACCUGCCCUGGCCAGUGGACCAGGUUCAAAACGUUUGUUGCCACUAGGGAUGACAAUGGCCAUGUUGGUUUGGGUGUUAAGUGCUUCAAGGAGGUAGCCACUGCCAUCCAAGGGGCCAUGAUCCUGGCCAAGCUUUCCAUUGUCCCCACGCAGAGAGGCUACUGGAGGAACAAGAUCAACAAGCCCCUCACCGUUCCUUGCAAGGUGACAAGCAGUUACAGCUCUGUGUUGAUAUGUCUCAUCCCUGCCCCUAGAGGAACUGGCAUCAUCUCAGCCCCUGUGCCCAAGAAGCUGCUGACGAUGGCCGGUAUUGAUGCCUACCACAUCUCAGCCAGGGGCUACACUGCCACCCUGGGCAACCUCACCAAGGCCACUUUUGAGGCCAUCUCCAAGACCUAUAGCUAUCUGACCCCUGGCCUCUGGAAAGAGACUGUAUUCACCAAUUCUCACUAUCAGAAUUCACUGACCAUCUUGUCAAGACCCACACCAGAGUCUCUGUGCAGAGGUCCCAGGCUCCAGCUGUGGCUACAACAUAGCAUUUUUAUACAAGAAAAAUAAAGUAAAUUAAGCCU